rnacentral:rRNA from 1 species
GGAUCCAGACUUUGAUUCUGGCUCACGAUGAACGCUAGCUACAGGCUUAACACAUGCAAGUCGAGGGGAAACGACAUCGAAAGCUUGCUUUUGAUGGGCGUCGACCGGCGCACGGGUGAGUAACGCGUAUCCAACCUGCCCACCACUUGGGAAUAACCUUGCGAAAGUAAGACUAAUACCCAAUGACAUCCCACGAAGGCAUCCGAAUGGGAUUAAAGAUUUAUCGGUGAUGGAUGGGGAUGCGUCUGAUUAGCUUGUUGGCGGGGUAACGGCCCACCAAGGCAACGAUCAGUAGGGGUUCUGAGAGGAAGGUCCCCCACAUUGGAACUGAGACACGGUCCAAACUCCUACGGGAGGCAGCAGUGAGGAAUAUUGGUCAAUGGACGCGAGUCUGAACCAGCCAAGUAGCGUGCAGGAUGACGGCCCUAUGGGUUGUAAACUGCUUUUAUAAGGGAAUAAAGUGAGUCACGUGUGACUUUUUGCAUGUACCUUAUGAAUAAGGACCGGCUAAUUCCGUGCCAGCAGCCGCGGUAAUACGGAAGGUCCGGGCGUUAUCCGGAUUUAUUGGGUUUAAAGGGAGCGUAGGCCGGAGAUUAAGCGUGUUGUGAAAUAUAGAGGCUCAACCUCUGCACUGCAGCGCGAACUGGUCUUCUUGAGUACGCACAACGUGGGCGGAAUUCGUGGUGUAGCGGUGAAAUGCUUAGAUAUCACGAAGAACUCCGAUUGCGAAGGCAGCUCACGGGAGCGCAACUGACGCUGAAGCUCGAAAGUGCGGGUAUCGAACAGGAUUAGAUACCCUGGUAGUCCGCACGGUAAACGAUGGAUGCCCGCUGUUGGCCUGAAUAGGUCAGCGGCCAAGCGAAAGCAUUAAGCAUCCCACCUGGGGAGUACGCCGGCAACGGUGCAACUCAAAGGAAUUGACGG